rnacentral:rRNA from 1 species
AAAGCUAGCCAUUUAUUUGGCUGGUGCUUUGAGAUAGGCUCGCGUCCUAUCAGCUAGUUGGUGAGGUAAAAGCUCACCAAGGCAACGACGGGUAGUUGGUCUGAGAGGACGAUCAGCAACACUGGAACUGAGACACGGUCCAGACACCUACGGGUGGCAGCAGUCGAGAAUCAUUCACAAUGGGGGCAACCCUGAUGGUGCAACGCCGCGUGGAGGAUGAAGGACCUAGGUUCGUAAACUCCUGUCAUAAUAGAGUAAGACAUAAUCGUUAAUAGCUUUUAUGUUUGAUAGUAUAUUAAGAGGAAGGGACGGCUAACUUCGUGCCAGCAGCCGCGGUAAUACGAAGGUCCCGAGCGUUAUUCGGAAUAACUGGGCGUAAAGGGAGCGUAGGCGGCUUGGUAAGUCAGAUGUGAAAGCCCAGGGCUCAACCCUGGAACUGCAUUCGAUACUGCCAGGCUAGAGUAAUGGAGAGGUAAGCGGAAUUUUGGGUGUAGCAGUGAAAUGCGUAGAUAUUCAAAGGAAGACCAAUGGCGAAAGCAGCUUACUGGACAUUUACUGACGCUGAGGCUCGAAGGCUAGGGUAGCGAAAGGGAUUAGAUACCCCUGUAGUCCUAGCAGUAAACGAUGUGCGCUUGGUGUGGGGAGGUUCGACCCUCUCUGUGCCGGAGCUAACGCGUUAAGCGCACCGCCUGGGGAGUACGGCCGCAAGGCUAAAACUCAAAGAAAUUGACGGGGACCCGCACAAGCGGUGGAGUAUGUGGCUUAAUUCGAUGCAACGCGAAGAACCUUACCAAGGCUUGACAUGUAUCGCUAAGCUAGAGAGAUCUAGUGAGCUUUCGAGCACUUUACACAGGUGCUGCAUGGCCGUCGUCAGCUCGUGUCGUGAGAUGUUUGGUUAAGUCCAGCAACGAGCGCAACCCCUAUGAUUAGUUACUAACACGUUAUGGUGAGGACUCUAAUCAGACUGCCCAGAUCAACUGGGAGGAAGGUGGGGAUGACGUCAGGUCAGUAUGGCCCUUACGCCUUGGGCUGCACACGUACUACAAUGCCCAGUACAAUGAGAACCGAUACCGCGAGGUGGAGGAAAUCUACAAAGCUGGGCCCAGUUCGGAUUGGAGGCUGCAACUCGCCUCCAUGAAGUUGGAAUCGCUAGUAAUGGCACAUCAGCUACGGUGCCGUGAAUACGUUCCCGGGUCUUGU